rnacentral:rRNA from 1 species
UACGAAGGGGGCUAGCGUUGUUCGGAAUUACUGGGCGUAAAGCGCGCGCAGGUGGUCUUUCAAGUCAGUGGUGAAAGCCCGGAGCUCAACUCCGGAAAUGCCAUUGAAACUGUGAGACUUGAGGACGAGAGAGGUGAGUGGAAUUCCCAGUGUAGAGGUGAAAUUCGUAGAUAUUGGGAAGAACACCGGUGGCGAAGGCGGCUACACUGGCUCGUAUCUGACGCUCAGGCGCGACAGCGUGGGGAUCGAAACAGG